GUUGGGCUUAGUGGCACAUGCCUGUAGUCCCAGCUCCUCAGGAGGCGGAAGUGGAAGGAUCUCUUGAGCCCACGAGUUCUGGGCUGUAGUGUGCUAUGCUGAUCAGGUGUCCGCACUAGUUCAGCAUCAAUAUGGUGAACUCCUGGGAGCGGGGGACCAUCAGAUUGACUAAGGAGGGGUGAACUGGCCCACAUCGGAAACGGAGCAGGUCAAAACUCCCAUGCUGAUCAGUAGUGGGAUUGUGCCUGUGAAUAGCCACUGCACUCCAGCCUGGGCAACUCAGUGAGACCCCAUCUCUU
ensembl:misc_RNA Metazoa_SRP Metazoan signal recognition particle RNA